UACGGAGGAUGCAAGCGUUACCCGGAAUGAUUGGGCGUAAAGCGUCCGCAGGUGGCCAUGUAAGUCUGCUGUUAAAGAGCAAGGCUCAACCUUGUAAAGGCAGUGGAAACUACACGGCUAGAGUGCGUUCGGGGCAGAGGGAACUCCUGGUGUAGCGGUGAAAUGCGUAGAGAUCAGGAAGAACACCGGUGGCGAAAGCGCUCUGCUAGGCCGCAACUGACACUGAGGGACGAAAGCUAGGGGAGCGAAUGGG
rnacentral:rRNA from 1 species